ACAGAGGGUGCGAGCGUUGUCCGGAAUUACUGGGCGUAAAGGGCGCGUAGGCGGCUUGAUAAGUAGGAGGUGAAAUUCCAUGGCUCAACCAUGGAUCGGCCUUCUAGACUGUCAGGCUUGAGCACGGUAGAGGCAGAUGGAAUUCCCGGUGUAGCGGUGGAAUGCGUAGAGAUCGGGAAGAACACCAGUGGCGAAGGCGGUCUGCUGGGCCGUUGCUGACGCUGAGGAGCGAAAGCCAGGGGAGCAAACGGGA
rnacentral:rRNA from 1 species